UCUGCAUCUGUGGCAGUAGCUGUCUCGGAACUGUGGCUUUUAAGAUGUUUGAGCGGAGAGAGCAUAUGCAACAGGUCUAAUAUUGGGAGCAUCAACAUAACCACUGAGCUGCGGUCUGAUGUUCUGCUGCCAUGUUACUUUGAACCGGUCCUCCUCGGAUCAGACAUGACUGCAGAUAUAGUAGCAGUGUGGACUCAGAAGAAUGAAGCGAUUAUAGAUGGCUUAAUAAACUUAUAAAUGUCUAAAAGUGCUUAUGUAAACCUCCGGCUUUAAACCUGAGGCUACUGCUACUGAAACUGUCCUAGAGUGACUGGCAGGAAAACAAAAAAA